GUCUUCUCUCCCAUCUCCCACUGAAUCCAGCCACACCAGCCCUUCCACACCACAAAACCCGAAAGAUCUUUGCACCAUCAGAACUUCCACCGUGCAGUUCCCCCAGCUGGCAUUUACUGCUUCAUGCUGUUGAGAUGCCAGGCAACUCCGUCAUUCUGGUUUCAAUGUACACGUCAUUUCCUCAGGAAGAGGCACCCUAAGCACUCAACCAAAGCAACCACCAAGUCCCUUGCUCCUCUGCCCCCUUCAUUUCCAUCUUUGCACUUACUGGUAUCCAAUGUUUUCUCUGAUUUCUUGUUUACUUUCUCUGCCUGCUGAACAUGGCUUUCUCAGGAACCUCGUCUGUUUUGCAGUCUGCUGUAUUGGCAACAUAUUGAACGGUGCCCAGCACUUAGCAAGUAGAUUUUCAACAGAGGGAAAGAGAGGCCAGUACGAUGGGAAAGAGGCUCACUUCUAAUUUAUUGACCAUCAAAACCCCCACCACUACCUCCAUCUGCUCUUGUCUCCCGGGAGAGAAACUUGAAGAAUGACUUCUCUUCUUGACUUGUCUCCUCAACAAACAGAAACCCAGGGACUUGCCUCUCCAUGGAGUCCUACAGAACUGAGAGAGGAGCCGUGAAACCACUGGGAUGAGAACUGGCCCAGGGUCCAGGGUGGCGCAUAGUCCUGGCCGGCUCCCCAGGCUCUGGCCCAGCGCUGGCACCAGGCAGCCUGACUCGUUGCCCAACACCACCAGCAUGAGGCAUGGACCUCACACAUCGAUUUAAUGCAACACCUCUGCUUCUUGGCCAGCUCUGCCUAAGGAAGCAACUCUGAUUUGUUCUCUGAGCUCUCAGAAACUUUGGGUUUUUUAGCUGCUUCUGGCAAUUCUCAAACAUAUCCAAAAGUGGGGAGAACAAUAGAAACAGCACAAAGAACCCUCCUGUGCCCGCACCCAGCUUUGACAAUUAUCAAUGUGUUGUCCAGCUGAGAGUUUCUUUUAAAAAGAACUUUUUUUUUUCUCUCCAAAAUGAGACUCUCCUUUUCCAAGGACAAAAGUGUAAGCCCCUCUUCCAGAAACUCUGUGACUGGGUCCAAGAAAACAGUGUUAGAAAGUCUCACAGUGAUUCUGGUCCCACUGAGACGGAGACACCAUUAGUUCACUCUGUCCCCAGCACUGUUUCUAUAAAUACUUAGUUCUCAAAAGUGAUGAACAAUGGGACACUCAGAAAACAUAAAGGGAACAUGGUUACAUUGGUCUGUAUGAAAAAUGCAAAUGACAAGACAGCCAAAGAUCACAACAAAGAGGAAAGAAUGAGAGAACAUAGGUAAUAUCCUCAAAAUUCAUAAAGAGCUCUUAUAAAUUACUCACAUUUAUUAAAAAUAGAAAUAUUUACAAAAUUCCAUAGAUAAAGGCUAGAAACAGGCUUAGCUUGUUAAGAAGUAGAAGAGAGUCUGAAAAUGGCCAAUAAUCUAUGUAUACAUGCUUGAUCUCCUUGGAUGCCAGGAAAAGGCAAACUAAAAUGAUGAGGAACCACUGGGUGGUGUGGCACACGCCUGUAAUCCCAGCAGCUCAGGAGGAUGAGGCAGGAGGAUCCUGCGUUCAAAGCCAGCCUCAGCAAAAGAGAGGCAAUAAGCAAUUCAGUGAGACCCUGUCUCUAAAUAAAAUACAAAAUAGGACUGGGGAUGUGGCUCAGUGGCUGAGUUGCCCCUGAGUUCAAUCCCUGGUACCUGCCACCCCCCACCCAAAAAAAAAUGAUGAGAAACUAUUUCUACCCAUCACACUGGCUAAUAUUGGAAUGAUCCUUACUCUCCCAUGAUGGUGAGGUUUGAUGAAGACGGCUACACUUGUUCCCUGACAGUAGAUUGUGAAGCAUUGCAAACUCUCCUGAGAAUAAUCUGGUACCAUAUAUUAAAGUACAUAACACACAAAUAAAUGCUGUUGGAUCCAGAAAUCCUAUUUUAGGACAUCCACACCAGAAAAAUAAAAGCAUGAAUAUAUUAAAACAUGUUUCACAAUGAUAUCAGUAAUUAACAUUCACCAUGAAGGGGAGUGCUCACCAAGUGCCAAGUGCCACAACAGAGGUUGUACAACGACAUCUGGAUUGAUCUUCACAAUAACUUUAUGAGAUAGUUACCAUUAGCUCAUAGGUAAAGACUAAAAUUUAGCAAAAUUAAAUAUGUUGUCCAAGGUUUUCAAAUGUGUCAAUGAAUAUUGGAGUUAGGACUUGAAAUUGUUGAUAUGACUACAGAGCUCAUGCUCUUACCAAAUUAGAUUUAAAAAAAAAAAAAAAAAAAAACAGGUGCCCUUGAUAGAGGCAGGGUAUUUAGAGUGACCCUAACCACUGGAAACAUGAAGUGCCCAGCCUUGAUUCGUUUCAAAAUUAAACUUACUUUGAAAAGGAAUAGGGAAGUUGAAACAAAUGUUUUCCAUAGAAGCAGAAAGAAGAAGUUGUGAGUAGGAAAAGAGACAAAUGUGAAAGCUUUGCCAGACUUGGUUUGGGGAGAGAAUGUUCUCCAGGGGACCUGAACUCCUCCCUAUGACUAAGCCUCCAGGCUGUGGCGGGAUCUCUCCCCGGGGGCCAUGGGCAAAGUGCAGUUCCCAAGUGUCCCCUCAGAGGCAGCUCUGCUGCCCUCACCCAAGCUGGCCCUGCCAAGGAGAAGGGGUGAGAGGGGGAGCAGCUCUGUAACUGACAGAGGAAAUAUGGUUAUGAAGAUCCUCAGGUCCUGGAAACAAGGCCUCAGUUUUCCUGGAAAAUGAUCAGUUGUUUAUCUCCUUGGAACUUGGAAAGGAUGUCAUGAAUACUAUGUUCUCACCAAGCCCGUGACUGACUCUGCCCUGAAGACUUAACCUCCUGUCCUUGGCAGGAUCAUGUGCCACCAUAUUCUGGGUACAGGAACACUCCUGCUAGGUUUUGUGUCCAGAAUGUAGGUAAAGACUCCACCCACAAGCUGUAGAUCCAAACCCAGAGAACCCAGGAGUGUGUAUUGGAAUGUGAUCUCAAUUGCACUUUACAAUAGAAUUACUUGGAACAAUAUCAGCAUAAACAAGGAGCAGGGAUGAGUGUAGACAGUGUGUUACAAGCCAAGGUUAUGACUGAUUUAAUUUGGUGCACCUGAAGCCAAUAACAAUAAUAAUAAUAUAAAAUAAACCAGUAGCAAGUAUUAGCCUGAUCAUCUAUCGAAGAGACUAAAGCAACCAGUCCCAGAGGUUUGUUUUUUUCUCUUACUCAACUCCAACUGUUAUUAAUAGCUAUUUAACCUAACCUUGAUCUUUAUUCAGACUCAUGGGAGUAAACAAACUUCUGACUUAUGCAAACUCCUGCCUUAGAAUGACAAGUCUUUGAUGCAUAUUUAGUGCUCAAGUUCCAAUAAGUAGGUUUCCAGACAGACUCUUUCUGUGACAAAGGGCUCAUAGAAAGUUCCUAUUAAAUUCUUCCUUUCCUUGUAGGAAAAGUUUGUGUAUAACUAGCUUGUCCAGGAAGCCUUAACAUUGUUCCUUUGACAUGCCUAGGGAGGCCCAGCAUCCUGACCCAUCUCAUACCUUCCAAGACUCAUCAAAACUAGGGACAACCUGGUGCAUUUGAUGGACAGUAAGUGCCCAAAUUCUGGGAGAACUGUUAUUUGGGUUCAGAUCCCAGAUCUGCCACUUACUAACCCUGAGGACUUGGGCAAGACACUUCACUCUUUUUUCUUUCUUUCUUUUUUUUUUUUAUGGGAAGAAAAGUUUAUUAGAGGGCUAUGGUUUCAAAGGUCUUAGUCUGUAGAAGGCCGCCUCCAUUCCUCAGGGCUCAAGUUGAGGCAGAACAUCAUGGCGGAUGAGUGCGACAGAGGGAAGCAGCUCACAUGGUGGUCAAGAAGCAGAGAGAGAAGACUUCACCUUUUUGUAUGAGCAACAUCUUUAGCAAUCACAGGAAUGAUGAUUAUGAGGAUCCUACCUAUCAAAGGAGCAAUAAUUGUUCCUCCUUCGCGAUCUGUUGUAAGAAGAAAAAGAGAAAUUGAAUGUACAACAGACAGCUCUGUCUGCACAGAGGAAGCACCCAAUGAAUGUUUAUUGCUGUUCUUUGUCAUAUAAAAACAACCUCUGUUAGACUUUCCUAGAGAGUCAAAGAGUGGGAAAGCCCUUAUCUCUGGCACCUAACCAAUGUGGGUUGGAACACAGUUCUGCUAGUCACUAGCUGCAUAAAUAUUUAGUCUUUUGUUAACUCAUAGAAGUUCUUUUUCUCGUCUGUAACACUGGAAGUGAACAUAAUGUUCCAUCUCAGGGUCAUCAGGAAAAUCUAAAAAGAUAACACAUGUACUUCUUAAUGCCAAGCACAUAAGUGUUCAAUAAAUGUUAACGGCCUUUUUAUUUCAA